rnacentral:rRNA from 1 species
AGCGAACGCUGGCGGCAGGCUUAACACAUGCAAGUCGAGCGCCGUAGCAAUACGGAGCGGCAGACGGGUGAGUAACACGGGGGUACGUACCUUUUGGUUCGGAACAACACAGGGAAACUUGUGCUAAUACCGGAUAAGCUCUUACGGGGAAAGAUUUAUCGCCGAAAGAUCGGCCCGCGUCUGAUUAGCUAGGUGGUGAGGUAACGGCUCACCAAGGCGACGAUCAGUAGCUGGUCUGAGAGGAUGAUCAGCCACACUGGGACUGAGACACGGCCCAGACUCCUACGGGAGGCAGCAGUGGGGAAUAUUGGACAAUGGGCGCAAGCCUGAUCCAGCCAUGCCGCGUGAGUGAUGAAGGCCCUAGGGUUGUAAAGCUCUUUUGUGCGGGAAGAUAAUGACUGUACCGCAAGAAUAGGCCCCGGCUAACUUCGUGCCAGCCGCCGCUGUAACAC